rnacentral:rRNA from 1 species
UAGGGAAUCUUCGGCAAUGGACGGAAGUCUGACCGAGCAACGCCGCGUGAGUGAAGAAGGUUUUCGGAUCGUAAAGCUCUGUUGUUAGAGAAGAACGUUGGUAGGAGUGGAAAAUCUACCAAGUGACGGUAACUAACCAGAAAGGGACGGCUAACUACGUGCCAGCAGCCGCGGUAAUACGUAGGUCCCGAGCGUUGUCCGGAUUUAUUGGGCGUAAAGCGAGCGCAGUCGGUUCUUUAAUUAUGAAGUUAAAGGCAGUGGCUUAACCACUGUACGCUUUGUAAACUGGAGGACUUGAGUGCAGAAUGGGAGAGUGUAAUUCCAUAUGUAGCAGUGAAAUGCGUAGAUAUAUGUAGGAACACCGGUGGAGAAAGCGGCUUUCUGGUCUGUAACUGACGAUGAGGCUAGAAAGCGUGGGGAGCAAACAGG